rnacentral:rRNA from 1 species
CCUACGGGAGGCAGCAGUGGGGAAUAUUGCACAAUGGGGGAAACCCUGAUGCAGCGACGCCGCGUGAGUGAAGAAGUAAUUCGUUAUGUAAAGCUCUAUCAGCAGGGAAGAAAAUGACGGUACCUGAGUAAGAAGCCCCGGCUAACUACGUGCCAGCAGCCGCGGUAAUACGUAGGGGGCAAGCGUUAUCCGGAUUUACUGGGUGUAAAGGGAGCGUAGACGGCAGUGCAAGUCUGGAGUGAAAGGCGGGGGCUCAACCCCCGGACUGCUCUGGAAACUGUACGGCUGGAGUGCAGGAGAGGCAGGCGGAAUUCCUAGUGUAGCGGUGAAAUGCGUAGAUAUUAGGAGGAACACCAGUGGUGAAGGCGGCCUGCUGGACUGUAACUGACGUUGAGGCUCGAAAGCGUGGGGAGCAAACAGGAUUAGAUACCCGAGUAGUC